rnacentral:rRNA from 1 species
UACAGAGGUGGCAAGCGUUGUUCGGAAUUACUGGGCGUAAAGGGCGCGUAGGCGGUCUUGUAAGUCUCGUGUGAAAUCCCUCGGCUUAACUGAGGAACUGCACGGGAUACUGCAUGACUUGAGGUCGGGAGAGGGAAGCGGAAUUCCGGGUGUAGCGGUGAAAUGCGUAGAUAUCCGGAGGAACACCGGUGGCGAAGGCGGCUUACUGGACACAUAUUGACGCUGAGGUGCGAAAGCGUGGGGAGCAAACAGG